rnacentral:ribozyme from 1 species
UGCCCAGCAACUCCUAUCCCUACCUCCUCGUGGUACUGACCGGGGUACGAGUAACCUUAGAGAAGAUCGGGUAACCAACCCCGGUGUGAACUUUGGUGGUAUGCUGACAGGGAAGG